CAUCCAAUUUGGGAUAAAAUCCAGGGUCUCAAAGUGCCCGCGAAGGUAAAAAUCUUUCUUUGGAGAGUUAUGCAUAAUACUAUUCCCUGACGGGUUGCUCUGGCGAAUCGUCAUAUUAAAGUGAGCGGGCAAUGCCCAGUCUGUGAGAUUGGAGCGGAAGACAUUAAGCAUCUCCUGUUCAAGUGUAGCCGAGCAAAGCACGUAUGGCAAGCACUGGGUAUUGAUGACUUAAUUGAGAAAUUUUGUCUUGCUCAUCAUCUAGGACAGGCUAUUCUAGAGGAAUUGUUGUACUCAAGCCCUGAUCAAUCUAUGAUUUUGGGACAAGCCCCACUGGCAGAACUUGUUGCAGUGGCUUGUUGGUAUUUAUGGUGGGAAAGAAGGCAAAUUAGUCGUAAUAUUCAGGUGCAGUCCCCAGAAAGAUCUGCGAUAGCAAUCAAGGUGUUAUCUUCAGACUUCAGGUCUGCUACCGUUCCUAAUGCAAGGGUGAGAAGGAGAGACGGGCUCCUCCAACAGGUGAUUGUGUCAAGAUAA
rnacentral:rRNA from 1 species